GAUGAACGCUGACAGAAUGCUUAACACAUGCAAGUCUUUGGCGAAGCUGUGCUUGCACAGCCUAGCCAAGGCGGACGGGUGAGUAACGCGUAAGGAACUUGCCCUGCAGUCAGGGAUAACAGACGGAAACGACUGAUAAGACCUGGUAAAGUCAGGCGGACUCAUGUCCAGCCUGAUGAAAAGAGAUGCUGCAGGAGAGCCUUGCGUCCUAUUAGCUUGUUGGUGGGGUAACGGCCCACCAAGGCGAUGAUAGGUAGCCGGCCUGAGAGGGUGGACGGCCACAAGGGGACUGAGAUACGGCCCUUACUCCUACGGGAGGCAGCAGUGGGGAAUAUUGGACAAUGGGGGCAACCCUGAUCCAGCAAUUCUGUGUGCACGAUGAAGGUUUUCGGAUUGUAAAGUGCUUUCAGCAGGGAAGAAAAAAAUGACGGUACCUGCAGAAGAAGCGACGGCUAAAUACAUG
rnacentral:rRNA from 1 species